GAGGCGUUAAAUGUCCGCUAAAAUAAUUCUUCUAAGGAAAACGGCGACGUUCUCACUCUAUCCAACGCCACCAAUUACUCAAGUCGUUGGAAGGAACACUCUCAGUAGAUUGCUGCUUCGAAGAGGAGGAGGUCAUGUCGGAUGUCAGAGCUAUGAACUGGAUUCAGCGCAAGAUCUAUCUUUAUAAUGUCACUUUUGGGCUUUACAUGUUGGAUUGGUGGGAGCGUUAUUUUUUCAAUGCUCUGGUGAUUGUGUUGAUGUGGUUCUUUCUUUACAAUGGAUCACGAUAUGUCACCGAGAUAUGCAAGAGGCAUUUAUGGUGAGGAACAGAACCAGUAUCAAGUCAUCAACUGGAAGGAUGACAAAUGCAGAUGAGUGGCAGCAGAUAUAACUUAAUAGAGAUGCAUAUAUCUUAAUUUCACUCUUAUAUGGCAUGACAACUGCUGUAUAUCUUAAUUUCACUCUGAUUGUAUGGGGACUUGGGGAGUACCUUAAGUUUGUACCGAUAGAGAUGCAUUUCCUGCUUGCAUUCUACUCGCUUUACAGCCUUCUGACCAUUUUCUAUCCAGCAAUUUCGCUGUGAACAGAUAAGAAUGCAUGUUCAAAAUGAUAUUCACAGUUAUAGAUUA